rnacentral:rRNA from 1 species
AAAAAAAAAUAACCUACCUGGUAGCGGGGGAUAACUAUUGGAAACGAUAGCUAAUACCUCAUAAUAUUAAUUAUUGCAUGAUACUUAAUUGACAGGUGCAAUUGCACCACUACCAGAUGGACCUGCUUUGUAUUAGCUAGUAGGUGAGGUAACGGCUCACCUAUGCGACGAUACAUAUCCGAAAUGAGAGGGUGGUGGGACAAACUGGGAAGGAGACACGGCUCAUACUACUAAGGGAGGCAGAAGUAGGGAAUUUUUGGCAAUGGACGAAAGUCUGAUCGAGCAACGUAGUGUGUUUUUUGUAGGGAUCCGGAGCCCACAGAUAUCUACACUCGUU